CCUACGGGAGGCAGCAGUGGGGAAUAUUGCACAAUGGGGGAAACCCUGAUGCAGCGACGCCGCGUGAGCGAGGAAGUACCUCGGUAUGUAAAGCUCUGUCAGCAGGGAAGAAAAUGACAGUACCUGACCAAGAAGCCCCGGCUAACUACGUGCCAGCAGCCGCGGUAAUACGUAGGGGGCAAGCGUUAUCCGGAUUUACUGGGUGUAAAGGGAGCGUAGACGGUGCAGCAAGUCUGAUGUGAAAGGUCGGGGCCCAACCCCGGGACUGCAUUGGAAACUGUUGAACUGGAGUACAGGAGAGGUAA
rnacentral:rRNA from 1 species